AUUUAUAAAUAAGGAAGUAGAGGCAGGAAAGAUAUAAAAAGUUAUCAUAGAUCGGGUGUAACGGCAUCACGAGUAUUCAGAUUUUGGUAAAGAGUUUUUUCUUCAUUUCACAUGCUUGAAUUGUAUUAAAACAGUCAAUAAUGUAGAUUUUUUUUGGGAG
rnacentral:sRNA from 1 species